GGCAAGGUGGCCGAGUGGUUAAGGCGGCAGACUCAAGGUUUAACCUUACUCCAUGACGUAACAUGGAGAGCGCGCAUUCUGCUGGAGCAAUCCGCUUGGGUUCGAAUCCCAAUCUUGUCA
rnacentral:tRNA from 1 species